rnacentral:rRNA from 1 species
UGGGGAAUCUUGCGCAAUGGCCGAAAGGCUGACGCAGCGACGCCGCGUGUGGGAUGAAGGUCUUCGGAUUGUAAACCACUGUCGGGAGGGACGAAGCUCUGACGGUACCUCCAAAGGAAGCACCGGCUAACUCUGUGCCAGCAGCCGCGGUAAUACAGAGGGUGCGAGCGUUGUCUGGAAUCACUGGGCGUAAAGGGCGCGUAGGCGGCCUGGUAAGUCGGGGGUGAAACGCUGCGGCUCAACCGCAGCACUGCCUUCGAGACUGCCGGGCUUGAGCACGGUAGAGGCUGGUGGAAUUCCCGGUGUAGCGGUGGAAUGCGUAGAGAUCGGGAAGAACAUCGGUGGCGAAGGCGGCCAGCUGGGCCGUUGCUGACGCUGAGGCGCGACAGCGUGGGGAGCAAACAGG